rnacentral:misc_RNA from 1 species
AACGCACCUUGCGCUCUUGGGUAUUCCUAGGAGCAUGUCUGUUUGAGUGUCUCGAAAACCUCUCAAAGCCCCCUCUUUUUGUUUGUUCGAGAAGAGUGUACACACACUGUUUCAUGGGUUUUGGAUUGUGACGGCUGUACUUUUUCGUCGAGAAGACGUAGCUGUCGAAAUUGAAGUUUGGAAAGGGUUCCUCUUUUUAGAGUUGCAACAAGUCUGGAAAACGUUUAGCUUUUCUGCGUAAUAAUUAUUUCGCAUGGGGCAUUAAAACUUUUCUGGUCUGCAAACAAAGACACCCUACAAAAAUAACUAGCAUAUAAAGCAAAAAUUUGACCUCAAAUCAGGCAGGACUACCCGCUGAACUUAA